UACGUAUGGUGCAAACGUUGUUCGGAAUCACUGGGCCUAAAGAGCGCGUAGGCGGCCAAGCAAGUCAGAUGUGAAAUACCUCGGCCUAACCGAGGAACUGCAUUUGAAACUGCAUGGCUUGAGUACAGGAGGGGAGAGUGGAAUUCCUGGUGGAGCGGUGAAAUGCGUAGAUAUCAGGAGGAACGCCGGUGGCGAAAGCGGCUCUCUGGUCUGUUACUGACGCUGAGGCGCGAAAGCUAGGGGAGCAAACGGG
rnacentral:rRNA from 1 species